UGUAAGGAGCGCCAGACUCCUGGACAGAGUGGGGUCAAUUUUCCCCUUAGUCACUGUCCUCUCCCCUCCCAAAUGGCCUCCCAUCUCGCUGGCUGGGGUGAUUCGGGGGUGACUUAGGGACAUCCUACACACCCCUGGAUUCUCUGGAAAUGGCAAGGGGUGGUGUGCUGUAUACCCCGGCCACCAGCACCCAUGGGAGGGGGGAAGGUUGUAGCAGACCCAGCGCCUGGGGUGGGGGUGGGGGUUGUUUCCCCAGCAUGGCCGAGGAGAGAGGGGUGCUGGGGUCCGUGGAGGAUCUAGAGGCGUGAGAGCCAGAGCUGCCGGGCACCUCUCCUGCCUGUACCCCCUCCCCGGCUGAGCCCUGCAGCCUGGCCCCAGGCCAAGAGCCGGCUCAGCAGGUCCCAGGGGUGUGGUGGCUACCAGCGGUGGAGCCAGCCUACGCUGGCCAGGCAAUCAGCAGAGGCAGCACAGUCCAUCAGGAGCAGCCGAGUGUGUGGCAGCGGGAGCCCAGAGAGGCAGCGUGACCAUGAGCUCUCUGCUCUCCUACGCCCUGCCCGCCCUGGGCAGCUAUGCCAUGCUGUCCAUCUUCUUCCUGCGCCGGCCUCGCCUGCUGCACACACCCUGGGCUCCAGUCUUCCUGCCACGCCUGGGGGCCCACCGAGCAGGAUCUGGAGAACUACUGGAAAACACCAUGGAGGCCAUGGAGAACUCCCUGGCCCAGCGAUCAGACUUCCUGGAGCUUGACUGCCAGUUGACACGAGAUGGCGUGGUGGUGGUAUCUCACGACAAGAACCUGUCCCGCCAGUCAGGCGUGAAUAGGGACGUGAGCAGCCUGGACUUUGAGGAGCUGCCCCUCUACAAGGAGGAGCUGGAGGUCUACUUCUCACCAGGUCGCUUUGCACACGGGUCGGACCGGCACAUGGUGAGUCUGGAGGACGUGUUCCAGAGGUUCCCUCGGAUGCCCAUGAGCGUGGAGGUCAAAGAGGAAAACGAAGAGCUCAUUAACAAGAUAGCAGGCCUGGUGAGGCACUUUGACCGAAAUGAAAUCACCGUCUGGGCCACGGAGAAGAGCUCGGUCAUGAAGAAGUGCAGGGCUGCUAACCCCGAGAUGCCGUUCUCCUUCACCAUCGGCCGAGCUAUCUGGUUGUUACUGCUCUAUUACCUGGGGUUGCUGCCCUUUGCAUCCAUCCCGGAGAGGUUUUUCUUCUGCUUCCUGCCCACCAUCAUCAAUAGGACCUACUUCCCAUUUUCCUGCUCUGGGCUGAACCAGCUGGCAGCUGUGAUUUCCAAAUGGUUAAUCAUGAGGAAAAGUCUGAUCCACCAUCUGGAGCAGCGAGGAGUGCAGGUGAGGCUUGACCUCCACGCCCUCAGCAAGUGGGUGAUUCACAGUGUGGGCCUAGCACAGCGUUCCAGUGAACAGCUCUGCUACCGAUUAACUGGGUCCCCUGGGCAGGUCACCUUCGGAGUCUCAGUCUCUUGAUUUGUGAAAUGGGGGUGAUGGUACAUUUAACUGGUACCUAGUAAUGGCUUGACAAGUGUAGCCAUUAUCAUUGAACCUACUGUCCUGAUUCCUGAGGAGGGGGUGAGUGGGGCUGGGGAAAAAAACCGGCCCGGCCCCUCCCCUGAGCAUCCACUUUGAUCAUUUAAUUAGCAAACCUUUGUUGAGAAUGGACUACAUUCCAGGCACUGUGGUACCAGGGGUGGAGCAGGGAGUCAAAUCAGGGGCAGAGGAAGGAAACGGGCACUCACAGGCACCAAGUGGACAGAAAGGAAAGAGCACUGUGGUCUGUGGGGUCACAGGAGGCCCUCUGGAAGAAAUGAGGAGCUGGCUCGCACGGAGGGGGAAAGGAGAGCAUCUCAGGCAGGCUCAGCCUGUGGGAAAGCUGCGGGGAGCAAGAGGCCAUGGCAGGAGGAGGAGGAGCUGAGAGAGGUUCCACCAGGCUGCGGUGUGUGGCGAGGGGAGCUGGAGGAGGCGGCCUAGGCUGAGGCAGGCGGCCUGUGAACCUCAGUAAGGAACCUGGACUUCAGCCUGGAGGACGGGAAGCUUUGGAGGGCCUGAAGCAGGGCAGAGACCUGAUCCAGUGGAGUCUGGGAUUAAGGGUCACUCUGGCCACCGAUGUGGAGAAGCGAUCAUGGGCGCCAGUGUAGGAGCAGAGUAUCUCAGGAGGCAGAUGCCGUCGCUGACUGGUCCUGGGCUGAGGCGUCAGCAGUGGGAUGGGUGGACCAGCUGGCUGACGGGCCAGCAGCACUCCACAGCGCCGAGGUGGGGGUGAGUGAGGCAUGGGGAGGACGCGCCUCUUUCAGAUUAGCACCUCCACAGCGCCUGCACUCCGUGGGCCUUCACCACAACUCUGGCGGUUGGCCCGUCGUUCCCAUUUGUCACGUUAAGAAACCGAAAGGUCCAGUGACGUGCCCAGGGUACAGACACCAUCUCUACCUACCGCCAUACCCACGAGAGAGGAUUCAGGCGGCAGGACAGACACAGAGCAGCAGCAGAUUCGGGCAGGCCUGGAGACCUCACAGCCGGCUUUCCAGGGGAGGGGGAACAAAAUGCUCUCAUUUGAGCAAUAGACGAUUUAUUUCCCUGGCUGUGCAUCCUCUCACCUUGUCCGAUUUCAGGCCACCAACGUGACGUCACUGAGCAUAGAGUUGGGUAGUAUUUCCACCUUACACAUUCAGCAGAUGCGAACAACCGCCAGAGCGUGGUCUUUUGGUGCCUUAAUGAAGAGUCGGAUUUUGAAGUGGCCUAUGCCCUGGGGGCCAGUGGCGUCAUGACAGAUUACCCCACAGCCCUGAGGCGCUACCUGGACAAUCAUGGAGGAGCUGCCCAGGCCUCCUAACAGCCCGGAGGCCCUCACCCUCUCCUCUAUUUCUCUUCUUCAAUAAAUAUUUUCUUUUCA